UACGGGGGGGCGAAGCGUUGUUCGGAAUUACUGGGCGUAAAGGGCUCGUAGGCGGCCAACUAAGUCGGACGUGAAAUCCCCAGGCUCAACCUGGGAACUGCGUCCGAUACUGGAUGGCUUGAAUUCGGGAGAGGGAUGCAGAAGUUCCAGGUGUAGCGGUGAAAUGCGUAGAUAUCUGGAGGAACACCGGUGGCGAAGGCGGCAUUCUGGACCAACACUGACGCUGAGGAGCGAAAGCCAGGGGAGCAAACGGGG
rnacentral:rRNA from 1 species